UCUUUCCUCCCGAGUGCUUGCACUCAACUGGAAAGAGGAGUGGCGGACGGGUGAGUAACACGUGGGUAACCUACCCAUCAGAGGGGGAUAACACUUGGAAACAGGUGCUAAUACCGCAUAACAGUUUAUGCCGCAUGGCAUAAGAGUGAAAGGCGCUUUCGGGUGUCGCUGAUGGAUGGACCCGCGGUGCAUUAGCUAGUUGGUGAGGUAACGGCUCACCAAGGCCACGAUGCAUAGCCGACCUGAGAGGGUGAUCGGCCACACUGGGACUGAGACACGGCCCAGACUCCUACGGGAGGCAGCAGUAGGGAAUCUUCGGCAAUGGACGAAAGUCUGACCGAGCAACGCCGCGUAAGUGAAGAAGGUUUUCGGAUCGUAAAACUCUGUUGUUAGAGAAGAACAAGGACGUUAGUAACUGAACGUCCCCUGACGGUAUCUAACCAGAAAGCCACGGCUAACUACGUGCCAGCAGCCGCGGUAAUACGUAGGUGGCAAGCGUUGUCCGGAUUUAUUGGGCGUAAAGCGAGCGCAGGCGGUUUCUUAAGUCUGAUGUGAAAGCCCCCGGCUCAACCGGGGAGGGUCAUUGGAAACUGGGAGACUUGAGUGCAGAAGAGGAGAGUGGAAUUCCAUGUGUAGCGGUGAAAUGCGUAGAUAUAUGGAGGAACACCAGUGGCGAAGGCGGCUCUCUGGUCUGUAACUGACGCUGAGGCUCGAAAGCGUGGGGAGCAAACAGG
rnacentral:rRNA from 1 species